rnacentral:rRNA from 1 species
GCUUACGGCCAUACCACCCUGUCUGUGCCCAAUCUUGUCUGAUCUCAGAAGCUAAGCAGGGUCGGGCCUGGUUAGUCCUUGGUUGGGAGACCGCCUGGGAAUACCAGGUCUGUAAGCU